GAUGAAGAACGCAGCGAAAUGCGAUAAGUAAUGGGAAUUGCAGAAUUCAGUGAAUCAUCGAAUCUUUGAACGCACAUUGCGCCCGCCAGUAUUCUGGCGGGCAUGCCUGUUCGAGCGUCAUUUCAACCAUCAAGCCCCAGGCUUGUGUUGGGGACCUGCGGCUGCCGCAGGCCCUGAAAACCAGUGGCGGGCUCGCUGUCACACCGGGCGUAGUAGAUUUUAUCUCGCUCAGGGCGUGCUGCGGGUUCCGGCCGUUAAAAAGCCUUUUUUACCCAAGGUUGACCUCGGAUCAGGUAGGAAGACCCGCUGAACUUAAGCAUAUCAAUAAGCGGAGGA
rnacentral:misc_RNA from 1 species